rnacentral:misc_RNA from 1 species
GAGAAGAACGCAGCGAAAUGCGAUAAGUAAUGUGAAUUGCAGAAUUCAGUGAAUCAUCGAAUCUUUGAACGCACAUUGCGCCCGCCAGUAUUCUGGCGGGCAUGCCUGUCUGAGCGUCAUUUCAACCCUCAUGCCCCUAGGGCGUGGUGUUGGGGAUCGGCCAAAGCCCGCGAGGGACGGCCGGCCCCUAAAUCUAGUGGCGGACCCGUCGUGACCUCCUCUGCGAAGUAGUGAUAUUCCGCAUCGGAGAGCGAUGAGCCCCUGCCGUUAAACCCCCAACUUUCCAAGGUUGACCUCAGAUCAGGUAGGAAUACCCGCUGAACUUAAGCAUAUCAAUAAGCGGAGGA